AAUCUCUGGUUUCCCUUCAAAACGUAUAAGUCUUUCGCCUUUUACUAAAGAUUUCCGUGGAGGGGAACACUCAAAUGAGUCUAUAGUAUUUUUGUGCCCAUUACGGUGGGCUUU
rnacentral:snRNA from 1 species